rnacentral:rRNA from 1 species
GCACAAGCGGUGGAGCAUGUGGUUAAUUCGAAGCAACGCGAAGAACCUUACCAGGUCUUGACAUCCCCUGACAACCCGAGAGAUCGGGCGUUCCCCUUCGGGGGACAGGGUGACAGGUGGUGCAUGGUUGUCGUCAGCUCGUGUCGUGAGAUGUUGGGUUAAGUCCCGCAACGAGCGCAACCCUCGUCCUAUGUUGCCAGCGGGUCAUGCCGGGGACUCAUGGGAGACUGCCGGGGUCAACUCGGAGGAAGGUGGGGAUGACGUCAAAUCAUCAUGCCCCUUAUGUCUUGGGCUUCACGCAUGCUACAAUGGCCGGUACAAAGGGCUGCGAUACCGCGAGGUGGAGCGAAUCCCAGAAAGCCGGUCUCAGUUCGGAUUGGGGUCUGCAACUCGACCCCAUGAAGUCGGAGUCGCUAGUAAUCGCAGAUCAGCAACGCUGCGGUGAAUACGUUCCCGGGCCUU